rnacentral:rRNA from 1 species
AACGAACGCUGGCGGCAUGCCUAACACAUGCAAGUCGAACGAAGCCUUCGGGCUUAGUGGCGCACGGGUGCGUAACGCGUGGGAAUCUGCCCUUGGGUUCGGAAUAACAGUUAGAAAUGACUGCUAAUACCGAAUGAUGUCUUCGGACCAAAGAUUUAUCGCCCAAGGAUGAGCCCGCGUCGGAUUAGCUAGUUGGUGAGGUAAAGGCUCACCAAGGCGACGAUCCGUAGCUGGUCUGAGAGGAUGAUCAGCCACACUGGGACUGAGACACGGCCCAGACUCCUACGGGAGGCAGCAGUGGGGAAUAUUGGACAGUGGGCGAAAGCCUGAUCCAGCAAUGCCGCGUGAGUGAUGAAGGCCUUAGGGUUGUAAAGCUCUUUUACCCGGGAUGAUAAUGACAGUACCGGGAGAAUAAGCCCCGGCUAACUCCGUGCCAGCAGCCGCGGUAA